rnacentral:rRNA from 1 species
AUUGAACGCUGGCGGCAGGCCUAACACAUGCAAGUCGAACGAGUGGCGGACGGGUGAGUAAUGUCUGGGAAACUGCCCGAUGGAGGGGGAUAACUACUGGAAACGGUAGCUAAUACCGCAUACCAUCGGAUGUGCCCAGAUGGGAUUAGCUAGUAGGUGGGGUAACGGCUCACCUAGGCGACGAUCCCUAGCUGGUCUGAGAGGAUGAAAAGCCACACUGGAACUGGGACACGGCCCAUACUCCUAGGCGAGGCAGCAGUGGGGAAUAUGGCACAAGUGGCGAAAGCCUGAUGCAGCCAGGCCGCGUGUAGGAAGAAGGCCUUCGGGUUGUAAAGUACUUUCAGCGGGGAGGCGUUACUCGAAGAAGAAGCACCGGCGAACUCCGUGCCAGCCGCCGCGGUAAUAC